GACGAACGCUGGCGGCAUGCCUAAUACAUGCAAGUCGAACGCUGAAGCACUCUGCUUGCAGAGUGCGGAUGAGUGGCGAACGGGUGAGUAACACGUGGGAGAUCUGCCUAUAAGAGGGGGAUAACAUUCGGAAACGGAUGCUAAUACCGCAUAUAUUCUUGGACCGCCUGGUCCUUGAAAGAAAGACGGCUUUGCUGUCGCUUAUAGAUGAUCCCGCGGCGUAUUAGUUAGUUGGUGGGGUAAAGGCCUACCAAGACAAUGAUACGUAGCCGACCUGAGAGGGUGAUCGGCCACACUGGGACUGAGACACGGCCCAGACUCCUACGGGAGGCAGCAGUAGGGAAUCUUCCACAAUGGGCGAAAGCCUGAUGGAGCAAUGCCGCGUGAAUGAAGAAGGUCUUCGGAUCGUAAAGUUCUGUUAUUAGAGAAGAACAAGUCAAGGAGUAACUGUCUUGACUUUGACGGUACCUAACCAGAAAGUCACGGCUAACUACGUG
rnacentral:rRNA from 1 species